rnacentral:rRNA from 1 species
CGGUACUGCAAGUCUUCCGUUAAAUCCACCUGCUCAACGGUUGGGCUGCGGGGGAUACCGCAGAGCUAGGAGGCGGGAGAGGCAAACGGUACUCAGUAGGUAGGGGUAAAAUCCAUUGAUCUACUGAAGACCACCAGUGGCGAAGGCGGUUUGCCAGAACGCGCUCGACGGUGAGGGAUGAAAGCUGGGGGAGCAAACCGGAUUAGAUACCCGGGUAGUCCCAGCUGUAAACGAUGCAGACUCGGUGAUGGGCUGGCCUUGUGCCAACCCAGUGCCGCAGGGAAGCCGUUAAGUCUGCCGCCUGGGGA